UAGUCCUGGGGCGGAGAGACGCACCAAAAUGCAAAUUUGGAGAAGCACCCCAUAAAGGGUGCCGGGGCUUC
rnacentral:tRNA from 1 species